rnacentral:rRNA from 1 species
UACGUAGGGUGCGAGCGUUAAUCGGAAUUACUGGGCGUAAAGGGUGCGCAGGCGGUUUCGCAAGUCAGACGUGAAAUCCCCGAGCUUAACUUGGGAAUUGCGUUUGAAACUACGAGACUGGAGUGUGGCAGAGGGAGGUGGAAUUCCACGUGUAGCGGUGAAAUGCGUAGAUAUGUGGAGGAACACCGAUGGCGAAGGCAGCCUCCUGGGCCAACACUGACGCUCAUGCACGAAAGCGUGGGGAGCAAACAGG